CUACAUCUAGAUGUAUAGGCAGCAGGCAGAGGACAGACACUGGGCCAGGCUUGAGAAUUUGAAAACCCAAAGCCCACCCGCCAGUAAAACACUUCCUCCAACAAAGGCCAUACGGACUCCAAGAGGGGUGCGCCUCCUAAUCCCUAUCAAGUAGUGGCCAUUCCCUAAAGACCAAGCAUUCAAAUCUAUGAGCCUAUGGGGGCCAUUCCUAUUCAAACCACUACAUGCAUCAAACUAAGUAAAAGUGUCCUAAAGGCUUCACUUUAUCAUGUGUGUGAAACCUAGGCAUUUUCCAACUUCUCUAUCUAUCCACAUUGGGCCAAGUCAUUGUCUGUUCUCGCUAGACUUUGGGUGUCUUCUCUCUGACUAUUACAUGUCCACCUUGCCCCUCCCGUGGUCAGUCCCUCCAUAGAGUCCAACUCCUUAACCAAACUUACCACACCCUUCAGCAGUUUUUCUGCACAUUUUCUAUCAUCUUCCUUCAUGACUGGACUCUGUCUGCACAGCCCCAUUUCCUGCACUCACCAGAGAGGCACCUUGCCAGCGCUUUCAUUGGCUCUUAUGUCUGCUCUGAGCACUCUUCUGGAAAUUUCUAUGGUCAUUGUAUCGUUUCCUUUCAACCUCUUCGAAGUAGCCACUUCUGAAAAGAAGACUAAAGGCCAAUUUGAUGAGAUCUACCGCCAUCUGGGAGACCCACCCCUGGGCUGUGGGGAUUAUUUUGAUUAGGUCCAUUGAGGGAGGACCCGCCCACUGUGUGGUUCACUGCUCCCUGCUUCCUGACUGUGGAGGCAAUGGAGACCAACUGCCUCAAGCUUCUGCUGCUAUGACUUUCCUGCCUUGAUGGACUGUACUUUUGAACUGGAAGCCCUUGAACCAUGAGCCUAAAGGAACUCCCUCUCCUUUAACUUGUAUUUUGCAGGGGUAUUUUAUCACAGCAACAGGAAAUGUAACUAAGACAUGCUUUAAAGAAAUUCCUGAGUGACUCCCUGCUCACCUCCUCUGUUUUGUUUUUCCUUUACUGUAUGAGCCUUAACAUUUGUAUGCAUUUAUCAAGCAUCUCUUCUCCUUAGUAUAUAAGCUCCCUAGAGAUCAGGUUUUUGUUCAUCAUGGUCUUUUCCCCUUCUACAAUGGCAACAUCUGGAAUAGUUCCUGGAAUAUAGUACAUCUCUUUUGAGUAUUUGAAUGAAUUUGAAUGAGUGAAUGGUUUUCAGUCAUGAAGGUUAUUCACCCUCGACUCCACAGUUGAGCCCCUUAUAUGGAGUAACUAAGCCCUUUGGAGUCAGCUUUGUGUUUAUUCACUUAACAUUUACUGAGUGCAAACUGCCUCACAGUGUGUUUAUCACUGGGCCACUUACUUCCCACAAGGGCUGUAUCCAACCAGAUAAGUGAUACAGCGUGAACUCUGUAAGCUCUAAGGCACCACACAGAUGUCACUUGUCUCCCAGCACAGUGACACUAAUUAAUGUUGCUUCUAUGUCCAGUUCCAAUGGGAGCCUCUAACUAAUCUUCAUGCUUCCUGAUUCUCUCUAGAUAAUAUAUUCUGCACCCUGCUGCCCAUUUAAUCUUCUUAACGCACUGCUGCAAUUAUGUUUUCUUCCUUUUUAAAAAAAAUUGAUUGCCUUCCAAUUUCUGACCAAAUAGUCCACAAUCUCCUUGGCUUACAUCUAAGAUCUUCUUCAACCUGGCUCUUCACUGCCUCCACUGUUCCUCAUCAAAACCCUUGAUUUUCCAUCAAACAUAUGGCCCACUUGUCUUUCCCUGGGCAUCCUUGGCUUUCCCCUUCUGUACUUCAUGCACGUUUUUUCUAUAAUUGAUGUUUCUUAAAUCGCUUCAUGUGAGUGCUGGGUGUAUAUAUAAAGCUACCAUCCCUGAAUUUUUCUACUUGUUCAUUUGAGACAGGAUCUCAUGUAACUGAGGCUGGCCUUGAACCUAUGAUCCUGUCUCCAUCUCCUGAGCACUGGGAUUGCAGGCGUGAGCCACCAUGCUUGGCUCUGGGAUUUUCCACUUCCAGGUCCUGCUUGAAUUCCUGCCCUGAUUUCCUUCUGUGAUGGAUUCUGACCUGGAAAACUAAGCUGAAUAAACUUUUUCCUCCCAUAA